AUGACAAAAAUGUGUCAUGGAAAAUCUCCCCACCUCCUCAAAACUCACAGGGUAACUGAAGAGUCAAGGGAUGAGAAAAGGAGUAGAGGAGAGUUAAAAGAAACCGGAAUGGGGGCGAGGAACAGAGGGAAGAGGAAACGACACCAGCAGUUUCCAUGGUAAUCAGUUGAUGGAAUUAAAUCAAGCAGGAAACCUCUUCAGAAUGCAAAGUCAUCUUGCAAAACAGAGAGGCUUGAAAUAUCCAGGAAGUGUGUCAUGGCCAAAUGAAAGGAAUGGAGAUGUGAAUACCUCCAUAAUGUAAACUCCCCAACCCUAAAAUAAACACUCAAAAGCUAGCCUUUGUC
rnacentral:lncRNA from 1 species